AUUGAACGCUGGCGGAAUGCUUUACACAUGCAAGUCGAACGGCAGCACGGACUUCGGUCUGGUGGCGAGUGGCGAACGGGUGAGUAAUGUAUCGGAACGUGCCCAGUCGUGGGGGAUAACGUAGUGAAAAUUACGCUAAUACCGCAUACGAUCUAUGGAUGAAAGCGGGGGAUCGCAAGACCUCGCGCGAUUGGAGCGGCCGAUAUCAGAUUAGGUAGUCGGUGGGGUAAAGGCCCACCAAGCCAACGAUCUGUAGCUGGUCUGAGAGGACGACCAGCCUCACUGGAACUGAGACACGGUCCAGACUCCUACGGGAGGCAGCAGUGGGGAAUUUUGGACAAUGGGCGAAAGCCUGAUCCAGCCAUUCCGCGUGCAGGAUGAAGGCCCUCGGGUUGUAAACUGCUUUUGUACAGAACGAAAAGGUUUCUACUAAUACUAGGAGCUCAUGACGGUACUGUAAGAAUAAGCACCGGCUAACUACGUGCCAGCCGCCGCAGUAA
rnacentral:rRNA from 1 species